ensembl:lncRNA
CUGCAGAUGUCAAGUAAUAUGUUUUCAGAGGACUCUACAAUCUUCUCCCUUCUAUUUGCACAAUGACAGUUUAGAUUCAUAUCGCUAAACUAUUUUUUUGGUUUGAGCGACCAACCAGAUAGGCCAUAAUAGCUGAUCAACCUUCUUUAUAUUGUAUGCCACUAUAACCUUGCUAUGAAAUUCCUCUGAUGUUUACUGCACCUCUGCAGAGGAACCAGUCACUUGCACUACUCUGGUUACAAUCAUUAUUGUGUUCAGGAGAUGGCAGAAAUUUCCUUAGCUUGCCACACUCUUUCAGGGCUAUGGAGUGCUGGACAAUGCACUGGCCACCCUUUCCUUUCCUGCCGAGUGAUAAGGUUUUGCUAGUGGCAUAGGCCCUGGUCUAAUACUGCAUUUAAGUACAAGUUAAAAGUUGAACAUAUGAGUGGUUCUGUUGCAUUCAAAUAAACAUGCAGGUUGGAAUUUUCCAAAUGAACCUUAGGAAGGUAAGUCCAAACCCAAUGGCAACUUUUUAACCCCAUGGUUAAAAAAGAUAAUUUAAUCCCCUAUUUUUCCUUGAUAAACUCUUCUUUCUUUAUAUUGGACUCAAUGCAGAAAAGUGUUGUUGUAUUAGUUUCUUGUAUUUAAGAAACUUGCAGGUGUUGCAUUUCUUUUGCCAUGAACAAGAAAGAGUAAUGCUAUGGUAGCACCAUGCACAUCACAGUAUUGUGGAAAAUGACAAAAUUUAGUGUCAGAGUUGAGGAGUAAAUUACUGGUUCUCUAAGAGCAAGUUAUUAUUUUGUGGUUGACAACCUACAGCAUUUUUACUUAAUACAAAUAAAAUAUCAGUGUGUAAUUUUGCCAGGACUUCUGUAGCAUCUUUAAAAUCAGAUGAUAGUAUACUGGCUGAAAAGGCUUAUUGAAAACCAUCUGAGUCAUAUGCAAUUGGUCAUAUGUCAGAAGUUUGAAACAAAGGGACUCCUUUACAGGCCAGCAGAAUUAUUGGUUAUGUUUACUGAUACUGUAUGCUUUACUGGGAAGUGCUUUGCACUGACAUAUAGCAUGAAGAUAAGGUGGUGUGUUUUACUUCUACUGCUGAUGGAACUGGCGGGAUGUAGGGUGACCUGGAGAAGCCCUAAUUCACAGGUCUUCAAGUCCGCCUCAGUCUGCAACCAGUCCUCAUUAAUGGCUUCCAUGCCAGCACAUCUUUGAAGGAAGAAGAAAAUGCAUUGACUAUUCGCGACACAAGAAAUGUACGUGGAAGCUAACUCUCUGUGACUGGAAUAUUUGACACGGUUGUUCGGACAAAGAAGAUUCCUCUUAAGAAAAUGACCCAAAAGUAGAUGCCCUGAUUCUCCUCUGACACAAGUGUAACUCAGAAAAUAUGAAAUGGAUUUCAAGAUGCAUGCUUCUAGUUUUGGCUUGGCCCUCUAUGCUUUUUUCCUCUCUGAUACUGAAGGGCUACAAAAGCCCAGUACACAAAAUAAUGAAUGACUGUUACUGACGAGAUGUACUGUGGCUGGUCUCGGGGUAACUUAGCAACAAAUGAAGGCCUUAAAAGUUAAGUAGAGCCCUCUGUCAGCUACUACAGAAAGAAAAAUGCUACACUAGAAAAUAUUCUUGGCUCGAAGCAGAACACUCUACUGUGUGAUUAACAGUAUUCUCUCUCUUCCCCUCCUCUCUUUCUUUAUGUAAAGCUAAGUGUUUACUGGUUCUACCAACCCGGUAUAUUGGCCAAAGCAGCGCUGUAUUUCCAGUAAAUUCUACAACAGUCUUUUUAAGAAAUGAAGCUAUGCACAGGUCAUUUCAUACUCCCCAGGCGCUUCAUACAGAUAGCAUGAGAUUUCAGUCUUACAAACCUUUAUCUUUCCAUUGAGUAUCUCUUCAUGCAAAUAUGCUUGGUGUGGUACUUAACGGUACAUCGCCAAAUAUUCUAAAGCACAGCACAUCUAGGUGUGAUCGCUAUGACUUAUAAACAAACCGUGUUUGGAAGCGCACAAACAAUUUCAAACACACGUUUUAUUUCACUGAUGCUUAUUAACUUCCACCUGAUUGCAUACCUUUUGUUGUUUUGGGGUUUUUUUACCACCCUCUUCUCAAAUGUUUAUGCUGGCUCCAGUUUUUAUCCUGUUCUCCACACAGAGAGCUCACAUCUUUCUUAGUCUGGUCUUCUGAUACACAAACAGUUGUCUAGGAUGGUUUUACAAGGGCUGAUCUUGGCUUGAGUAGGAAGGUGAACUACACAUCCUAAGGUCCUUUCCUGCCCCACGUUUCUAUGAUACUAUGAUGGCUGGUCAUUUUCACAAUGGUUAAAAAGAUGAAACAAGCUGGGGAUAGAUAUAUAAUAGGAUCCUUAUUAUAUAAUAAGGGAUACAGUACAACCCAUUCUGAUCUCACAGCAGAAGCCCUAACAAAAUGGUUUCAAGAUGUGGCAAAUACAAUAAUUCAUAUAUAGCUGUAAGUUGCAAUAACUCAACUCUCACUCCUUUUCAUUAGAGUUUUGUCUUGAUCCUAUUUUAAUUUGGUUUAUGCAAAUAUAUAUAGUCCUUUAUGGAGCAAAGGAACUACACUAAAUAAUUCCUUUCAUAAAAUGAUCAAGCUCCAAUUUAAAACCAUAUAUGUUUCUUGUCCCCAGCUGCUCCUAUUUUAUGUGCACUCAUCUGAUGGUUAAAAAUCUUAAUUGCUAGCCUAAAUUUAUUUAUGCCUGGUUUAUGGUUAUUUUUUUGGCUAGGUUUGUUCAGUAGCUUAAAUAACUUUUCUCUCUUCUUGGUGUUUACUCACUUGAUGCAUUUAGGGAAAACAUUCGUAACACCUCUCAGCCUUGAUUUUGCUAGGCUACAUAAACCAGACUUUUUCAGUCUCCUCUAAACCAGGCUCUCUUGUCUCCUGAUCAUCCUAAUACCUCUUCACAAUUACCUCUGAUCUCUAGGAUGUUUCAGGGUUUUAACCUUAUUGCUGUGCCUACUGUUACAUUUAAUUUAGACCAGAGAUGCCCAAACUUUUCUUAUUGCAUACCUCCUUCUGGAUUUACCAGCUGCCUGUGUACCCCUACCACCAUACGUUUUAUAUUUUAACGACUUGAAUGCCAAUUAUUAUUAUAGUGAAAAUUAAGGCUGCCAUUACACAAUGUAUCCCACGUACUCCCCAGGGAUAUGUUUACUACAGCUUGGGGAACCCCUGAUUGAGACAAUUGGUACCCCUGUUUGGGAAGCUCAGAUUCCUACAGUGUUUUAUCCAGAUAGUCUAAGGUAGCUCAUUAUUACCAUAGAUUUCACCUUUUCUUCAUACAUAGACAUGGGUAACUUCAGACAGCAUGUUUUAUACAAAUGCCUCUUUUACCCCUAGGUCGCUUUGCUUUUGGUGAUCACCCCCUGGGCAACAUAUUCUAGCAAGGCCGAUUAGUUUUUUAUCUUUCUUUUUCUAAACUAAUAACAAAAUCAAAGGAUAGGGCACUGGUAUUUGGAUAGUGAAAUACUGAUAGCUAUGGAUUCAUGGCGGAUAUAGUACAAUACCCUCCCUUUAUAAUAAACAUGUAGCAGUAAUGUGAAACUGAA